rnacentral:tRNA from 1 species
AAAGAAAUAAAAAAGAAUAAAGCUUCUAACUUUAAAUAAAGCAUCAAAUGUUUAU